rnacentral:miRNA from 1 species
CUAAGUUGAUGAUGUUUAUGACGUCGAAUAUCGACGUCAUAAACAGCCAAGUUGAUCGUGUUUAUGACGUCGAAAAUCAACGUCAUAAACAGCUAAG